GUAGGGUCCGAGCGUUAUCCGGGAUCAUUGGGCGUAAAGAGCUCGUAGGCGGUUCAGCAAGUCGGCUGUGAAAGUUCGAGGCUCAACCUCGAAAUUGCAGUCGAUACUGCUGUGACUUGAAUUCGGUAGAGGAGAAUGGAAUUCCCGGUGUAGCGGUGAAAUGCGCAGAUAUCGGGAGGAACACCAGUAGCGAAGGCGGUUCUCUGGGCCGAUAUUGACGCUGAGGAGCGAAAGCGUGGGGGGAGCAAACAGGAUUAGAUACCCUGGUAGUCCACGCCCGUAAACGUUGGAUGCUAGGUGUGGCGGUCUACCAACGACUGCCGUGCCGAAGCUAACGCAUUAAGCAUCCCCGCCUGGGGAGUACGGCCGCAAGGCUA
rnacentral:rRNA from 1 species